rnacentral:lncRNA from 1 species
GGCAAAUGGCUGCAGUACAGCAGCAGCAGCAUGCUCCUUCUGUCCUCCCACCAGGUGCCAGAGAUUCUGGAGUUCAUCUGGAGAAACCUGGGAAGCAACAGCACAUCCCUACAGCCGACCCUCUACACAGUGCUGGAUGUGCUGACCAACCAGUUUCCCAGGGAUGUGCUGAUAAGCGUGCUGACUGACCUUCCACACAGUGACAGCACCACGAUGGACAUCUGGAAGAGAAUGCUUUCCCUGGCAGAAAAUUCAGAGGUCAUCUUGGAUGUACUGUGCAGCGUUCUCCAGGACCAAGAGCUGUGUGGGAUUUUUAACGUCACCCCAGCGGAGUUGGGCCUCCUUCGGCUGACUGUGAGUUAGCAGACAAGGCACCGUGCUG